AAGGACUUUGACUUCUCAGGGAGAAGGAAUGUAUGCCUGCUGCCUCCAAUGCUUCCACGACAACCCUGAUGUGGCCAGCACUGAUCUCAUCUGACACCUGAAGACGUGGGGGCCCUGGGAGAUUUCUGGCCCCAGGUCACAAAGUUAGGAAAAGUCAUAACUGGUACCCAAACUGAGGUCCAAUAAUCUCAAAGCUGGAGAGCCCAGAGGAGAGAAGUUUGCGGGUGAUCUUCUUGUUCCCCUGAAAUCCACUCAAAUAGGCAGUUCUUCUGUUUGUGAAUCCAGAAAUGCAAGGUUCUUGUUCCAAGUUGGUUGUCGUCUGCCCCCAGCUCAGCCUCUGCCUGGGUCAGUGCCAAGUAAACAGCAUGGGUCUGGCCAGCUGAGAAGAUGCCACAGUGGUUGCAGGAAGGUGUCCUGUGUCACACCUGUCUUCUGAGGUAGGUGACAUUGGGGUGGCAAGGUAAGGGCAUUGAUGUUCUGCAGACACCUGCAGGAGGCUGGAAAGGAAGACCUGAGCUAGCACACUGCUUGCUGAUCAC
rnacentral:lncRNA from 1 species